rnacentral:rRNA from 1 species
GAUGAACGCUGGCGGCGUGCCUAAUACAUGCAAGUCGAGCGAACAGACGAGGAGCUUGCUCCUCUGACGUUAGCGGCGGACGGGUGAGUAACACGUGGAUAACCUACCUAUAAGACUGGGAUAACUUCGGGAAACCGGAGCUAAUACCGGAUAACAUAUUGAACCGCAUGGUUCAACAGUGAAAGACGGUCUUGCUGUCACUUAUAGAUGGAUCCGCGUCGCAUUAGCUAGUUGGUAAGGUAACGGCUUACCAAGGCAACGAUGCGUAGCCGACCUGAGAGGGUGAUCGGCCACACUGGAACUGAGACACGGUCCAGACUCCUACGGGAGGCAGCAGUAGGGAAUCUUCCGCAAUGGGCGAAAGCCUGACGGAGCAACGCCGCGUGAGUGAAGAAGGUCUUCGGAUCGUAAAACUCUGUUAUUAGGGAAGAACAAAUGUGUAAGUAACUAUGCACGUCUUGACGGUACCUAAUCAGAAAGCCACGGCUAACUACGUG